rnacentral:rRNA from 1 species
CAGCAGCCGCGGUAAUACGUAGGGUGCAAGCGUUAAUCGGAAUUACUGGGCGUAAAGCGUGCGCAGGCGGUUUGUUAAGACAGAUGUGAAAUCCCCGGGCUCAACCUGGGAACUGCAUUUGUGACUGGCAAGCUAGAGUCUGGCAGAGGGGGGUGGAAUUCCGCGUGUAGCAGUGAAAUGCGUAGAUAUGCGGAGGAACACCGAUGGCGGAGGCAGCCCCCUGGGCCAACACUGACGCUCAUGCACGAAAGCGUGGGGAGCAAACAGGAUUAGAUACCCCCGUAGUCCCUGUCUCUUAUAC